rnacentral:rRNA from 1 species
GAUGAACGCUGGCGGCGUGCUUAACACAUGCAAGUCGAACGGUGAAGCAGGAGCUUGCUCUUGUGGAUCAGUGGCGAACGGGUGAGUAACACGUGAGCAACCUGCCCCUGACUCUGGGAUAAGCGCUGGAAACGGCGUCUAAUACUGGAUAUGUGAUGUGACCGCAUGGUCUGCAUCUGGAAAGAAUUUCGGUUGGGGAUGGGUGCGCGGCCUAUCAGCUUGUUGGUGAGGUAAUGGCUCACCAAGGCGUCGACGGGUAGCCGGCCUGAGAGGGUGACCGGCCACACUGGGACUGAGACACGGCCCAGACUCCUACGGGAGGAAGCAGUGGGGAAUAUUGCACAAUGGGCGGAAGCCUGAUGCAGCAACGCCGCGUGAGGGAUGACGGCCUUCGGGUUGUAAACCUCUUUUAGCAGGGAAGAAGCGAAAGUGACGGUACCUGCAGAAAAAGCACCGGCUAACUACGUGCCAGCCGCCGCCGUAA